AAAUAUGCCGCAUUUUCAGCGUAAAUGUAUCGCAUUUUUACGGUAAAUGUUCCGUAAUUUUUCGAUAAAAAAACUGACCAAAACAACCGAAAAAAUGCUGAGAAAAUACCGCAUUAAUACUGUAUAAUUGCGACAUUUUUUCGGCAUUUACAAAACCGCUAGGGAAUAAAAAAUUAAAAAGCUUUAA